rnacentral:rRNA from 1 species
UACGAAGGGUGCUAGCGUUGUUCGGAAUCACUGGGCGUAAAGCGUGCGUAGGCGGCGAUACAAGUCAGGGGUGAAAGCCCAGAGCUUAACUCUGGAACUGCCUUUGAAACUGUAUUGCUAGAGUGUUGGAGGGGAUAGCGGAAUUUCUAAUGUAGCGGUGAAAUGCGUAGAUAUUAGAAGGAACACCGGCGGCGAAGGCGGCUAUCUGGACAACAACUGACGCUGAGGCACGAAAGCGUGGGGAUCAAACAGG